rnacentral:lncRNA from 1 species
UUUUUUUUUUCAAAGUUCAUGUGUUUGGCCAAGCUUUUGGAAGAAAAAAAAAAUACUUUUGAGGAGAAACAAAAUUAGUUUUGGAGAAUCAUAAAAAAAGUAGUUUCUUUCCAAAAGUUUUUUUGAAAAGUACUUUUGAGAAAAAUACACUUAGAAGUAGUUUUUAUAAGUUUGGCCAAACACUAAUUGCUGCUUAAAAUUGCUUUUCAAAUUAAUUACUCAAACACAAACUGCUUCUCACCCAAAGUACUUUUGAGAAAAAAACUUUUAAGAAAAAAAUACUUUUCAAAAUAAGUUGACUUUUGCAGCUUGGCCAAACAGGUUAUAAGACAACUUUUAAACGCUAUGAGGCAAGGAUGAAGUUUCAUGUACCUACGCGUAGAUAAGUGUGUCAUUCUUUUUUAAUUUGUGUUAAUUUAUAUGACGUAUAUUCCUUUUUAUUCUGUCCUAACCUAAUAAGUUAUAUUCAGAAAUAAUUUAAUUUUAAAAUUAUCUUUUUUAUCUAUAGUAACAUAUUAUUAGAUUAUGAAUUUUAAAAGUUUUUUAUUUUUAUUUCUUAAGUCUCGUGCUCAGUUAUAUAAUAUCACACAAAUGAAAGGGAUGGAGUAUCACCUGUCGUGCCUUACGUCUUGAGCUUCAACGCUUUGGGCAAGCAUUGAUUGCUUGUGUGUACAAUCCAGAACAUUUUAAUCUUGAUUUAUGGGAUAGUGUUUGAUUAAAUAUAUAAAUUUGUAGAGCAAAAAAAUUGAAAUUUAUAGUUUAGAACAAGUUAUAUAUAUUUGUUCGAUUAUAAAUUAUUUUUCUACAGUAAAAUGAGAAUUUUGAUGUUAAACUUUUUCUAAAUAUAUAAUCUGUAGCGCCUUACGUCUUGAGCUUCAACGCUUUGGGCAAGCAUUGAUUGCUUGCGUGUACAAUCCAUAACAUUUUAAUCUUGAUUUAUGGGAUAGUGUUUGAUUAGAUAUAUAAAUUUGUAGAGCAAAAAAAUUGAAAUUUAUAGUUUAGAACAAGUCAAAUAUAUUUGUUCGUUUAUAAAUUAUUUUUCUACAGUAAAAUGAGAAUUUUGAUAUUAAACUUUUUUCUAAAUAUAAUAAGGUAUAUUUUUUAUUUGGACAGACUAAAAUGGAAUUAACCUCACGUAAACAAAAGAGUAAUUCUUACUUAUGGGUUGAGAUCCCUUUGUUUUGGGGUGAGCUUCAUGGGUUAUAUUUGGGUUACUUCAUGAGUCAGAAUGGGCUAUAGAAAAUAAUGGGUUAACUUUGGUUCAGCCCAAAUUGACCCAUGAGCUAAGAUGUUGUAGCCCAACCCAUUAAUCUCUAGGCUGAUUGGACGGGUUAGAUGGGUUUGGGCUCAAAUUGUCACCCCUAUGUGUGACUAUGACUUAUAUAGUAAACAAAUAAUGUGAUUGGGUGUGUUUGGUAUAAGGAAACAUUUUCCGAAAAAUAUUUUUUAAUUUUCAAAUGUUUGGUUGGCUUAAAUAUUUUGAAAAAUAUUUUUCUCAUGAACUCAUUUCCUCCAAUUGGAGGAAAAUGUUUUCCCUAUCAAGAGAAGGGAAAACAUUUUCUAAAAUUCUUUUUCAACUUUCCCCACCCUAUUUCCCAUCCCCACCAACCCCAACCAACCUACCCCACCUACCCAUUUGUUGUCAUAUAUUACUGUUACUAGAUGUUUACAUAUAUUUUUUGUAUUCUAUACAAUUUAAUAUAUUUUUAAUUUUUCACAGUGUUGUCAAAGACUUAUUUAAGGUGCGUUUAAGCCCCUAAGCUUAAAUUCAUCGGGCUCAUGACUCAGGGCUCAGGCCAUGAUUAUAUUAUAUUUACGGAAACAGGCCAAAACUGUCCCUAAACUAUUUGCCAAAGGUUAAAUAUACCCUUCAUUCACCUAUCGGUCCAAAAAUAGCCCCGACAUUAUUGUUUCGGCUCAUUUAUGCCCUUAUGACAACUUGAAUUUAAAUUUAUUUAUUUAAAUUCCUCAUGUCAUAUAUUCUAUUACUCGUCUAAUUCAAUUAAAUAAAUAGAAAAGGGCCAAAACUGUCAUUGGACUAUUGGCCAAGGGCUAAAUAUACUCCCCGCCCACCUAUCGGUUCAAAAAGGCUCCCCAAAAUUGCCUGGUUUUCUAACUUACCCGACCCAAAUACUAACCCACCUGGAAAGCAAUAAAAUCUCUCCGGAAAAGUUAUUUUAAUGACCAUUCUUGUUCUACUUCCUCCCUCUUGUUUAUUCUUUUUAAUAUUUUUUAAUAUUAAGAACUAAUUUUUUUUAGUGAACAUCUAGGUGGUCAAAUUAGUCCGAGAUUGAUAGGGUAAUAUUGGUCGGUGACUGGCCACUAGUUAUUGGAUAUCUGAUUCUUCAGAGGAAAUAAGAAAUCAAAUUAUGCAUAUUCAUUACUCCUAGUGGUCAAUUUUAAUUUCUUGUGAAAAUCUCAAUAAGAGGCCAAUAUUUUUAUUAGAAUGCUAGCUUUCACUACCUUGUUUUAUUUUUAAUUAGAAGAUCUAUGAAAGAAUCAUGAUAUUUAACAUGCUUUUGUUUAUGAUAUUUAGUUGCUUCUGUUUAUAAUAUAUGGUAAUUCUACGAUUUUUCUAUAUGUAUAUAGAUCUAUCUAUAUAUGUACAAGGUAUUAUUUCAUUGUUGUUAAAGGAAUACAAAUGAAAUGAAGAAAAAAAGUUAGUUUCUUUCUUUGUGAUUCUUAUAAAUUGACAAAAAGUUUCUAAGAUAGAUCUUUUAAGGUGAAAAACGAGUUUAUGGUGGGUUUGGCCAUUUUUUCAAUUGGGUGAAACUGCUGGGUUAUUUUUGGACCGAUAAGUCGACAGAGGGUAUAUUUAGCCCUUGACCAGUAGUUUAGGGGUAAUUUUGGCUCUUUUCUAUUUACUUAACUAGUCUAAUCCAGUUAAGUAAAUAGAAAAGAACCAAAACUACCCCUAAACUAUUGGUCAUUAAGACAGAAAUUUACCGGAGUAUUUUUGGGGGACCAAGGAUAUAUUUAGCCCUCGGGGAACAGUUUUGGCCCUUUUCCUUUAUAUUUAAAACGUCUCACCUUGUGUCUUCCCCUUCUAUACAUCUGUCAAAUUUUGAUUUGCUGCAUAUGAAUAACCAAUGAAAUAGGUACUUCACGCGAGCAGUGCCUAUUUUAAGGAGGAGAUUUUCUCCAUCUAUAGGCAUACAAAGGGUUGAGUGUUCAUUCUUUGCUGGAACUAUCAACAGCAUAACGUGUUCCACUACUUUUAAAGGUGCAGAUGAGCUUUCGCUCAGUCAAUCUCAACUUUCAAGGUAAUGUAUUUCAUCUCCUUACUCAGAAGCAUUUCAAUUAAUGAAGUUUGCGAUAGCUGUUUAUUUCCUAAAAAUUCUCGUAUCAUGUGUUUUGUUGGGCUAACUAUGCCCAAAGAUACCGUAUAAUAUUGCUUGUUUUGGGUCAAUCCAUAUGGUUUCCCAAAGAGUCUCAAACAACUAAGGGUUCGUUUGGUUGGAAAGAAGUUAUAACAAGAUUAAUUAUCCCGGGAUUAGUAUCCCUGGAUUAGUUAUUACACCUUUCCAUGGGAAUAAAAAAAAUACUACAAUCCCGGGAUAACUAAUCCCGGGAUUAAUUAUACCACAAUUUUAUCCCAACCAAACAUGGGAUAAACUUUUCUUAAAUUUAAUUCCGGGAUUAAUUAUCCAUUAUUCCUCCUACCAAACGAGCCCUAAGAGUAUCACUACACUUUUAUUUUGCACGCCCAACUAUGACGUACCCAUCACCAUGAUUCUUAGGCUUAUCCGGAGAUUCAAUGUGUGUCACCCACAUUUGUGGCUACCUAAGUUAUUCGGACUCGAGUACGGGUAUCCGACAAGGGUACGGAUCCAAAGAUCGGAUCUUUCAUGAUCUAAAUUUUAGGAUUCAAGGAUAUGGAUCUAGGUACGGGUACGUGUGCGGGGAUUCGGGAAAAAAUAAAUUAAAAAUCUAGAAAUAUAGCUAUAAAUUGUAUGAAGAAAAAAAUUUAAAUUUUUUUGGCUUUGGUCACAGAAAGUCGAGAUGAAGCAUAGAGAGAAUGACUUCUUUGUCCGUUUUCUUGGUCUUUUGGAGGGAAAGUAGGUAGAGAAAAGAUAGGAAGGAUGUAUUUUGCUGUCAAGAAAGGUCACUCUAUACCCCACUUUUUAGACAAUAAAGCUCACAGCCCCACUUUUUUGACAAGAAAGUUCACUCUGUACCCCACUUUUUUGACAAGAAAGCCACUUUUCAUGGGAUAGUACAAUAAAAAAUAUAAAGAGAUUUGUACCACUUCCUUUAUUUACGGAAAUUUUCCUUAAAAUUUUGGUCAACACACCCGAUCUCGUCUGACCGGAUCCGACACAGAUCCCACACCCUUACCCAUGUCAGUGUCGUGUCGACACGGGUACGGUGCCCAAAUUGCCGAGUCCGAGUAACUUAGUUGGCUACCAUGUUUGUGCAUCUCCAAGCUAUGGAUAACCGUAGUAAACCGGCUCGUAGACGGGCAAAGGCACUAAGCCGAUCCCCACGCUAUCAUCUACAUACUUGUUUGUCUAAACCAUUGGUUCUGAUAUCACUUAUUGGGCUAAGCCAGGCUGCCAACCCAAAGAUACUUUUAUGGUGUGAUAUUGUUUGAUUUGGCCAAACUGUUUUCCCCUAAAGGCCUCACAGAAGAGUAUCACUACACCUUAUCAACUUCUUAAUGUGGAUAUCUGAUUUUGAUACUCCCUUGCACAAAUUAGAUAUCAAAUCAGGUUAGUCUGUGAUUGGGAUUUAUUGUGUUUCUACUUUGCAUCAGAAGGUCAGCCUAUUUUCCACGGCUAGGUGAAUGAAGUAGACUUUUGCACAUUACAUUGUAUCUUAACAUAUUGAGGAACCCCUAAAAUUUAGAUAUAAAAAGUAAGGUUGAAAUUACAGCCAGAGAAAUUUAUUGAAAAGAGCAGCUACAAGUAAAAUAUUGCAAAGCUGAAAUAGGGUUAGAAGUAGUUUUCUGACAGUAAGGAUGUGAGCUAGGCUAAUCUAUGCCAAUUUCUGCAAAUUGAGCAAGAUAAAAGGCCAGAUGAAAUUCCAACAGCCAAAACCUAUGGUCUAUUGUACUAUGUGAAGUAGAUGAUUUCUUUUUGGUGGAGUGCUUAUCCCUGCUCGGAGCUCUUAUAUUCUUCAGUUUCAUUUUUUCUAGUGAAUUUAUCUUCUUUGGAUCCUAAGAAGCCUAUAAAGGGAGUUAUGGAAUUGUAGUAUUAUCUUAGCUCCAGUUGAGUUCUUUUUUGUCCAUUUUCGUUAAAAUUCUGCCCAUUGGAGUAUUUCUUUGCCAUAUCUUAUUAAUAAAAUUCUGAUUUUGGGAGAGCAGGCUCAAAGUUAUUCUAGAUUGUUGUCACAGAACAUCUUACCUUACUAUUUAUCCCAUGUACAGACUAGUUAACACUGGCUGCAAACUAGUAGGAUGUGGCUCUGCAGUACCAAGUCUGAAUGUUUCCAAUGAUGAUCUUGCAAAAAUUGUUGACACUAAUGAUGAAUGGAUAUCUGUAAGGACAGGGAUUCGUAACCGUAGAGUUCUUUCAGGUGAAUCUUCCUUUGUUCUUGAUGCAUACUACCUAUACAGGUUAUCGUGUUCUGCUCUUUGACAAGAAAAUGUAAUAGUAACAUGAUUUGUUAAUACAUCAGCCAAUUGUUUAGUAAUAUUUGUUUCAUUCCUCUACUCUGUCCAUUAUAAAGAUCUUUCAUAUUUCAAUUUACUGCAUACAUUUAAGUUUUCUUCUAGUUAAAAUUAUGCUGACCUGUUAGCAAAUGUUCUCUGUAACUCUGAUGUUUAUGGGAAAUAUCAGAACACAUUUCCUUACGGCCACAAUCUGAUAUAUGCUUUUGCAGGCAAAGAGAAUUUAACAGGUCUGGCUAUAGAGGCUUCAAGGAAAGCUCUAGAGAUGGCAGAGGUUAAUCCUAAAGAUGUUGACCUAAUUUUAAUGUGUUCUUCAACUGGAGAUGACUGUUUUGGCGGUGCUACCCUGGUAUGACUUGGUAAAGUAGCAAUUUUUUCUAUAUCAUGGAGCAACAGAAUUCACUAGUUUGUACAGUAGAUUAGCUAUACUGAAAUGGUUUUGCUAAUUUUGAGUAAAGCGUUGGGAAAGAAUCUGCAUUUGUGCUCACUUUUAUACAUAGGGAUAGUAUGAAGUAACCAGAAUAAAAACAUGAAAUGCAUGUGCCGUGGAGCUUCCGAGCUCAGAGGUCGUUUCUUCUUUUCUCUCACUUCUUGUUUCUCUAUUUUGACCUACAGAACACAACGCACAUCCAGCAAUUCAUUCACAGUAUAUUGUUUAAUUCUCGUGGUGCAUUUUCUAAGAUUGGAGCUGAUAUCCCGCUUGAAACAAUUAAGUGCAGCUCCUUGCAGAGAUAAGAUAAAAACUUGUGCAAAGUAAUCAUUAACCCGGUGAAUAAGAACUAGCAAAGAUUUUAACUUUUUACCAGAUGUUAAGAACAUGUUUCUUUUUUCAUUUCUUGGUCUUGAUAUGAAAAUUGAGCAUCAAACGUGUUUCCCUCAUAGUCAUAUAAACAAUAGCAAUGAAGAGUUGAGAAUUCGAUAUAAGGUUGCUCUUCUUGGGGACUGAUUGAACUUCUUUGGCCACGUGUGAUCUUGCUAUCUGAAAACUAGAUUCUCACAAAUUGCAAUUUUGAAGUGAAAUGCUUGGCUCAUUUAAUUGGUGAAUGUUGCAAAACUGCAUGGUUUGCUGGUUAGACUGACUGGAAAGUGUUUCGUUGAUGUUUAAAUCAUUAUAGCUUCUCCAUCCUGAAAGUUUGACUAGGGAUACAUUUACCUACUCAAGUUUUAUUUCCUUUCUUGUCUUUAUCUAUUCUCUAGUUCUGUCAUGGAUUUUGAACUCAUAGCUUUAACCAUGCUUGCUUCAGAAUUUAUGGGUAACACUUCAUCAGUUUCUGAUACUUCUCUGUUGUUAGAUCCAAAAAGCACUCGGCUGCAAAAGCAAUCCAUUGGCUUUUGAUAUUACAGCUGCUUGUAGCGGGUUCUUGCUGGGUUUGUUUUCUGCUUCUUGCUACAUCAAAGGUACAACCUUGUAAAUUUUGCCAUCUAUGAAGUUCUAUGAACUGUAUAAUCAUUCCUUUCUGGAUAUACCUAUGUAUUAAAAGUUGAAUACGUAGCUAAUGCUGCUGUUUUAUUUGUUCCUGGAUAUGCUCUGCUAAUAUUAGAUUUCUGUUCCUAUUGCAGCUGGUGGUUUUAAGAAUGUUCUUGUAAUUGGGGCUGACGCUGUUUCUCGCUUUGUUGAUUGGACGGAUAGAGGUUCAUGUAUUCUCUUUGGCGAUGCUGCUGGUGCUGUGCUUAUGCAGGUAUUGAUAAAGGAGUGUUUUUGAACCAGUUGCUGAAUAGAAAACAGGGGGGCAUACUUAUUCUAGGUUUUCUUUCAGGACUAUCUUAAAAAUUUGUCAUUGUCAAAAAAAGUCUUUGUGACCUCGUGUCUUGUUCUGUUGUUGUCAAUAAAAAUUCUUCUCUAGCAAUUAGUUUAAUGCAGGAUUCUAUAUUUUCCUAUAUCCAUUUCUCCAAAUUCACAUUAACAUUUUUCUUAGGCCUGUGAUAUUGGAGAAGAUGGUUUGUUUGGUUUUGACUUGCAUAGUGACGGUGAUGGCAAAAGGUACGUAUAGUCGUGUUAGGAUAAAUUACUGUGCUUUCAUCUUUAGAUCGACACUAACUAGUGGUUUCCACCGUCAGGCACUUGAUUGCUCCUUUUAUAGAGAAUGAAGGAUCAAGUACAAGUCAUUUUCCACCCAAAGGUUCCUCGUAUUCCUGCCUCAAGAUGAAUGGCAUAGAGAUCUUUAAGUUUGCUGUCCGUGUUGUGCCACAAUCAAUUGAAGCAGCUUUAGAAAGGGCAGGUUUCACUGGAUCUAAUUUUGAUUGGUUGCUCCUCCAUCAGGUAUGAUUUUGAGAUAGAAAUUUAAGUCAAUCAUCCCAAAAAUGGAUCCUGUUUUCUAUACAACUCUCAAAUGUUGGCUUUUGGCAACAAGGCACAUGUCCCAUUUCAAACAGGUUUAUUCGCUUUGUCAAUCAUUACUAGAGUGCUCUUCUCCCCUAUAUAUUUAUCAUUCGAGGCACACAUGAUAAAAGUCCUCGUAAUGCCUCAUAUUCAUGGAUGAAAGAGACCAAAUUCUUUUCACACAUGCAUUGCCAUCGAAAAUGCAAGAAAAAGUAUGUUGUUUUAUUAUUAUUCCAACUUUUUUCCUUUCAUACUACAAUGCUCUUCGGCCCUUCAUUCUGGCGGGUUUCUGACUGUAAUAAGAAAAAGAAAUAUAGCAGAAUAGUCGCUGGAAUUUGCAGUGAUUGCUAGCACUGUGGAUAAAAAUUGCAAAAGAGAAUAGAUCAGGAAGGAAGGGAACAACCAAAAAGAAAAAAGAAGAACAAAAGUUAAAAAGGGGAGAAAGGUGAAGCUACGGUUGUAUCACUUAAGUAUUUUUAUUGGAGAAGAAGAAAAAAAGAAAUAGUAGAAGGAAAAGAGAAAAGAGGAGGAAGACAUAAAAGACUAAGCAGCUUGCUGGCAAAAGUGCAAACUUUCACGUUUUUGCAGUAAAAGCACAGUAAUUUUGUCUUUGCAGUAAAAGCACAGUAAUUUUGUGAAUUAGAUUGCUAUUUACUCUUCACUGAUCUUAUAAUGGUGCACAAUACCUUAUAAGCUAGGCCAAUCUUGUUUGACUGAUAUAUGAUACUAAACUUAAUUUCAAGAUAAUAGGGUUAAGUCUUCCAAGUAAAAGAGUCCAACUAUAGAAGCAUUUCUUAUUAUUUAAUGACAGAAAUACAGCUAAAGAUAAUUCAGUAACGUUGUUAGUGCUCCUUUCAUGCAUUAAAUUUUACACGAGUAUGAAGUCGAGAGAAGCUGCUUAUAGGGUAUGGCUAUGUGCAGGCAAACCAAAGGAUUAUCGAUGCUGUAGCAACACGGUUAGAGGUGCCAUCGGAACGUGUCAUCUCCAAUUUGGCAAAUUAUGGAAAUACCAGUGCUGCAUCCAUUCCCUUGGCAUUGGAUGAAGCUGUUCGGAGCGGGAAGGUGCAGGCGGGACACGUCAUUGCUGCUGCUGGAUUUGGGGCUGGCCUUACAUGGGGUUCUGCAAUACUCAGAUGGAGGUGAAUAUAACCGGUGCUGGCCUCAUAUCAUUCAGAUGGUGGUAAAAACCUCUCAAUUUAUCAACACGGAGGAGACCUAAAUGGUACUAGUUCACCUGAAUUCCCUCUUUCUUGAUUUUUUUAAUUAAAAAUGUAAAUUAUAUUUAAAAAAUUGAAAUAUAAAUAUAUUCUGAAAGGUGACUUUGCUUGACAAAAGGAAGAAUUGUGUAAUGGUCAACUGGAUUCCUCUAAUAAAAGAGUACACCUUUGAGCCUCAAAAGCACCUCAUGCUGCAAUUUUUUAAAUGUUUACUAUUCGUGUAUUAGGUUUUAAUAUGUAACAUGUCUUGCUUUUUAAGUUUGGUAAACUGGUAUUAUAAAAUGGGAAAUGGGAAGUGAACAAACACCCAAUUUUAGGGCCACUGUAUCAGCUGUACCUUAAGUUCAAAUGUUUUUUUCUUUUUUGCAAUUUUAUCCAUUUUGGACAAAACUUCAAACAUACGCGGCUGAAGUAGCACAAUUCGUGUCUGAAGCUACAAACUUUGUCUGAAGUUAGGGAUUUAAGACGAACACGUCUUGAGUGUAUACAAAAAAUUAGUUGCAUUUCAGAGGCAUACGUCUUGAAUGCAUUUUAUUGCACUUAAGAUGUUUGCGUGCAUGCAAAAAAUUGCUUGCUCUUCAGACCAAUUUUUGCACUUAAGACGUGUGCGUAUGAAGUAUAACUAACUUUUUGGAUGCACUUAAGAAGUUUUCGUCUGAAAUUCAGAUUGCCCAGAAAUAGAAACUUGUUCUUCGAAUUUCAACAAUCCAACAUACAAUUCAACGUUCAACUUUACUCCAAAUGAGCUCGAAUUUGAAACAUAAGUUCCAAAUAUCAUAAAGAACAAACCCUAAUUAUCUAUUUGCCAAAACAAUAAUAAAUUUAACAAACCCAUUUUGCAACUAAGAAGAAGUAGAAGAAAUCCUAAGUAGUAACCAAAAAAGGAGCGUUGUAGCUGCUCACUGCAGUAAAACACCAUAAACUAUCUUAAAAUCUGCUCACAAGCACCAUGUAAAGUUGAUGUCACCCUCUAUUUUCACAGCAACUAAGGAGGAGGAGGAGGAAGAAGAGGAGAGGAGGAAAAUAGAGAAGAAGUUAUUUGUACUUGCGUACCAGUUAAUCUUUUUUUAAAAAGUGGGUACAAGUUAAACAAGGGUGCCUGUAAUUUUUACAAGGGAAAAGAGUCAUAUUUACCAUCUAUAUUCGUAAAUAGUUUACGUUUGAGCUCCGUUAUAUUAUUCGAACAAAAAUACCCUUAUUAUUAGUAAACUUAUCACAUAUGCCCUUUACCCUAACAGAUGUCCCUACUGACUUUUUAAAAUGACAUAUGGACGCCAUGUGUGUAUUUAUUUCCCCAUCUUUUAUUAGAAUAGAUAACCAAAUCCACUAAAUUAAGGGGGGGAAAAAAAUUAUAAGUGGGCAAUAUUCAAGAAAAUUUUCCAGAUACCUAGCAAUAGUAUGCAUUUUACAUAACAGGCAGCUAAAUAAAUAUAUUUUUAGAAGGAAGCUAUAAAUAUUGACUAAGAAUCACGUUUUUUAAAAACAAAAAUCCAAAGCAUUCAAUUCCUAGAAAUAGGUCCAAAACAAUUUACAGUUUUUUCCCCGAUUCUUCUCUUCUAGCUCACUCACUUCCUAAAUUAGCGCCGACAAUAUAACGAAGAGAGAUCACGAAGAAGUAAAAUUUCCCCAAAUUUGUAAUUAACUAUGCUUUUAUGUGUCUUAUUUGUUGCAGAUUAACUCUACCUCCCAAGUUUUCCCCAACAAUAUCUAUAUGUACAUUAUUGUCACGACUCCAAUCUCUCAUAGUAGGAUGUCGUGAUGACACAUAGUCUCUAAGAUUAUGUAAGCCUAACAUACAUGAAGAAAUAGUAGAAAUAACAAUAGAACUUCAAUUUUAAACCAUCUAGCUACCAUAAUAGAACUCCACAAUACCGCUGACAAUAACUCCUAAAAUCUGGUAAGAUUGAGUCAUAAGCUCUACACGAAUAUACCGAAAAAUCCCUAAUACAUCACUGUCUAAAUCAAGAGUAAGCAGUAGAAAAACAAGGAUAGAGGGUGACUCCGAGGCCUGCGGACGCCAAGCAGGUAUAUCUUGAAGUCUCCGAGAUGUAUAGCCAAAUCACUAAUGCCUACAUGAUAUGAGGUACCUGAAUCUGCACAAAAAGAAGUGCAAAAGCAUAGUAUAAGUACACCACAAUGGUACCUAGUAAGUAUUAAGCCUAACCUCGGUGAGUAGUGACGAGGCCAGGUCAAGAGACCUACUAGGAUAAGAAUAAGAAGCUGAACAAGUAUAACACAGUCUAAGAAUGGAAACGAGGAAAAAAAGGCAAUAAAAAAAUACAACAAGAUAGACUACAAUUGAAUUUAAAGCAAUAAAUGCAACAAGGAAGAAACUCAUAAUAAGAACAUCAAGAAAACAAUGCGGACAAAUACAAGUGAAGUAAAUGAGAGAUAACAACAAGAAUAACAGCUAAGGUACCGCCUCGUAAUCUCAUUUCACAAUCACAAUCAAAAUCACAAUCUUUCCUUAUACCGCCGCGUGAGCCUUACAUUUAGAUAGUUUUGAAAAUAGUUUUCCCGAAAUAGAUAGACGCAAUUUAGCCCACCUUAUGUCGCCGCGUGACUUCAAGUAAUUCUCUUACUAGCAACACGUACAUAAAUCUCACAUUAUGCCAUCACAUGCACAUUAACCCCUAUCCUUAUACCGCCGCAUGUACAUUAAUCCCUAUCCUUAUACCGCCGCAUGCACAUCAAUAUCACAACAUAAUCACAACUCGCACUACAAGUGCCUAUAUGUCACACCUAGCCAAAAGAAUCAACAAUACUAAUGUUUCCACAACAAAUAGCCCAUGACUCAACCACAAUGUGUACAAGAGUCUCAACAAUAGCAAACUGAAAGUGAAUAGCUUAACUAGAAUGUUAUUUCAACAAUUAACAACUUUGUCUCAAUGUGAUCACGACCUUUACAACUUCAACACCAAUAACUCAACAAGAAGAUAUUCUAUGAAAACAACAAUUUCAAGUAAACAAUUCAACAAUCAAAGAAGUAACAGACAAUAAGGAAGACAAUAACUUCAACUAAAGCAUAUAAGAACAAAUAACAAGUAAAAGGUGGAACAAGUGUUAACAAUAUCAAUUAAGGCAUGUGAGGGUAGAUUAAUACAUGUAAGGGUAGGCUAACAAUGAAAAAUAUAACUUACUUGUUAAGUUUAGAAUUUUAAUAAUAUUCAAUAAUCUAAAGAAGAAUUGACUAAUGACAUCUUAUUGUGUGCAGAUUCAAAGAGCAACGACAUUGAUGAAAGGAAAGAAGAUCAUAUGGGAAAUCAGAGGAACUCAACGGCUAUAUAUUUUGAAUUGCAUCAAAUGGAAAGAGAAUCAAUCAAUCAAAGAACAAAGAAGCAAAGUCAAUUAAUCAAACUUGCUAAAGAUCCUCAAGCGCGCAAGAAAGGAAAGAGAGCUAAUCACGGCUAUAGAACAAAUCAAGAACAAUCUGCGGAAGUUCUAAUCAAGGAUAAAUGGAGGAACCAAUUCGUUAAGAUUAAGGAUGAAUCUGGUUACCCUUUCAAGCUAGAUUCAUGAGGCUACCCUUGGGUCUCACUCUUAGAUAUAUAUGCCUCACAAGGAAAGGCCUCCAAUAAUUGCUGCUAUGCGAUCCCAGAAGACAAGGAAUCAGAAGACUCAUCAAGCUAUAAAGGAAAAAGUAGAAGGGAAUCGAAGGAUACGCAACUUCACAUCUGUUUCUACACCUUUCUAGUUCUUAGUACAAACACCGUCUUCUUGAGUCUACAAGUGUCGUAAAAGAUAGGAAGAGUUAGAAAACAAAACAAGAGUUGUGUCAACACUAGAAAGAAACAUUGUUGCUGUAUCUUUGGUGGCGAACGUACUAAAACCAUCACUCUUAUAAAUGCUUACUGAAGAUCUAAGAGAAUCCUUGUGACCCAAGGGAACUGGACAUAGGUACCACACUGGUACUGAACCAGUAUAAAAACUGCUACUCCUCCUUUACUUUUCUGUUUGCUCAGUUUAUUUCUGCUACGAUUAAUUCCUGUGUAAAGUCUAGUCGACUAAUUUUCUACACGAAGUUUUACAAAUCGGCUACAAUUCACCCCCUGUACUUUCAAUAAUAUGACAAUUCAAUUAAAGGCAUGAAAAGAGUCCAAAUAACCUAAACCGGUCAAAUAUCACAUAUAGCCCAUGUACUCACUUGUCACCUUACGUACACGACUUUCACAUAUCACAAAUAGCACAAUCAACCCAAAUCCUAAGGGGUAGUUCCCCCGCAUAAAGUUAGGCAAGAUACUUACCUCAAACAAGCUAACUUAAUCCACUAGCAAGCCUUUUCUGCGAAUAUCCAACUCCGAACGACUCGAAUCUAGCCAAAAUAACUUUAUACCAUAAAUACAAACUAUAGAAAACUAUUCCGGAUAAUAAAGUUGUAAUGUUUAAAGAAAAUCAAAAAGUCAACUCAAAAAGUCAACACCAGGCUCGCGUCUCGAAAACCGACCAAACUUACAAAAUAGAACACUCAUUCAAUAACGAGUCCAACCAUAUUAAAAUUAUUCAAUUCCGAACUCAAAUCGACCUUCAAAUUGUCAAAUUAUAGCUUAGGAAAUUUUCACAAAAUUUCCCAAUCUUUCCAACUCAAAACACCAAUUAAAUGAUAAAAAUAAUGAUAAAUUCAUGUAUAAUAGUCAAAUCCGAGUCAAAAUCACUUACCCCGAUCAAUUCCUUGAAAAUCUCUUUCAAAAUCGCCCAAAAUCGAAGUUUUUAACUCAAAAGAUGAAAAAUGGAACAAAACCUUCGAUCUGCCCCUUUUCUACCCAGUGAUUUCGCAUCUGCGGACCAACAGCCGCUUCUGUGGCUCCGCACAUGCGGAAAAUCCAUCGCAGGUGCGACUUUUCAUUAAGCCUAGGACUUUCCUCUUCUGCGGGAAAAAAAUGCUUUUGCAGUUCCACUUUUGCAGACCAUGGCUCGCUUCUGCGAGCCCGCUUCUGCAGAAGCUUGACUGCACCUACGGUCCUUCACAACCAACUCAAAGUCCGUUUCUAAGGAAGGACUGUCGCUUCUGCGGGUGCGGACCUGUGCUCAGGUGUCCACAUCUGUGACCUUCCCCCUGUCCAGCCUCUUCCGCUUCUGCAAUAACCAAGCUGCAUCUGCGGCCAAUCCCACCACAAGUGCGAUGACACCAGAACUUCAACAGUUCAUCAGCAAUCACCUAAGUCUAAAAUGAACCCGAUUUCAAUCCGAAUCACACCCGUGGUCCCCGGUACCCCAUCCGAACAUACCAUAAAGUUCCAAAACACAUAACGAACCUACUCGAGGCCUAACAUCAUAUCAAAAAAUAUCGAAUCUAUGAAUUGCAACCCGAUUCAAACCUAUUGAAUCCAUGAACAUUCAACUUCCUAAACUACCAUUGAUCCAUACCAAACCAACUCCGAUUGAUCUCAAAUUUUGCACACAAGUCAUAAAUGACACAACAUACCUAUUCCAACUCCCAGAAUCGGAAUCUGACCUCGAUAUCAAUAAAGUCAACUCUCGAUCAAACUUCUCAAUCUUCCAAACCUUCAACUUCUAACUUUUGCCAAUUCAAACCAAAAUGACCUAAGGACAUCCAAAUCAAUAUUCGGACAUACACCUAAGUCCAAAAUCACCAUACCAAGCUAUCAGAACUAUCAAAACUCUAUUCCAAAGUCUUUUACACAAAAGUUAAUAUUUACCUAUAAAACAGUACAGUUGAAUUUAUAAUGUGAUUUAUAGACAAGGAAUCGAUUUGAUAUCAAAAUGAUAAAUAAAUGAAAUAAAAUGCAAUACUUAUCAUUGAAAUCGAGAUAAGAUAGCAAACAGCUUGGUUCCGAGAGCAAGUCUUCCGAAGACAACAAUAAGAAUAUUGAUAGACAGAAAAUAAAGUAUUAUUGAGCUUAGAAUAAUGUGUAGCAUAAGUUUGUCAGAAUUUUCGUGUCUUACAAUGGCUUUUGAAGUCAUUAUUUAUAGCUACACCUAGGGAACAAGAUCCUAGGAUCAAGCCCCUCUUAAAUGACAAUUAUGGGGGUUAUUGAUGAAUAUAUAACGACAGACUAUGAAUGCCAAAAUUCUCUGUAACAGAUUGUGUAUUUAAUACUGAAGAAUAUUAUUCAUGGCAUGUCAUCGGGUGGCAAAUAUUUGUUUGUCCUCGUUAACAACGUUCCCUUCGGGGUUUACCCCGUGCCAACCGAAGAGCUGUCCUCGGUCUUGGUUUUCACUUGCUUCGUCUUCCGUCUGCCUCCAGUUCCACGUGUUAUUCUAUUAUUCGAGUAUUUAAUAUGAACCAAUUUUACCCUAUACAGAUAGUCCCCCUGCUUUCCAAAGCACAUCUUUGUGUCAUCGGAAAGUUGGUGAAGAUUCCUUUCUUGGCGGGAAAUUUUUUGAUCCCUUCUGAAAAGUUUCUGUCGCUUGAUUAGAUGCACGCCUCUCCGCAUUUAAUACGCCAAACAUGUGUCACUCCAUGAUUUAGCAAUAUUUUCGCCGGUUCUCAAGGUAAUCAUGGCCACGAUUUUAGCCGCAUAUUUCUUUACUUAUAUGCCUCAUUCUUCUUCUUUUACACUUCGCAGUUCUACAAACUCUCUUAACUUCUUUGCAUUUAACUCUUUCUUGCUUUCACUCCUCUUUUAAUCUUCUUAUUCAAAGAACUCUUAUUUCCUUCUGCUGAUCACGACUUCUUCUUCUUCCAAGAAAUCAAGUUCUCUUAAAAACAAAGAAAACACCGUUGAUGCUGACCUCUCUACGGUGAGCACCAUCAUUCCCAGAAGACUCAAUACAGCCAAGGACUUUGAAUAGAAGUUUCCUUCUACAAGUUCUCUUACAUGGGUUGUUGGCAUAUACCCUUCUUCCAUCCGUCCUUCCAGCAUUCCUGUUGUGAAGAAGGAUUGUGAUUGCCAUUAUCUAAAUAUCAUCGCUCCCGAAUUGGUGGAGGGAGUAACCUUCCCUAAGAAAGGCUUCAUGUACGUUUAUACGUACCCAUUUACUUUGGGUACUUUUCUUUGAGCAGGGGAAUUAACCACGUAAUUUUGGAGCUGUGCCAUAAAUACUAGAUUUAUUUGGCACAGGUGGGCCCUUCAGUGUGGCAACGGUAGCCUGUCUACGGCGGCUGUGCCAGGAGACGAAGGAAGAGCUCCUUAGCUCGCAUGAUGAAUCUCUACUCUCCCAGGAUUUUCCGUGGGAGAGUAAUAAAUUUUAGCAAACGUGGCUACCAUACUUUGCUCACCAGCAUGGAUGACGCCAACGACCAUGGAGGGAUGGAGCGGUUUGUUGUUGUUUCUACCAAGGAUAUCAUCCCGGCCACAACUCCAUCUUUCAAUGAGUCCUGGACUCGUACACAUAAGUUCAAAGUUUGUAUUUUCUCUGAAAAAAGGUUGUUUCAUGUUGUUACCGAUCCUUCUCUUUUCAUUAUUUCAGCAACUCGGUGGACACUACCAAGGGUUGAAGGCUUGGACCAGUGGGUUUAGAAUAUUCUGGACAUUACCACGCCUGAGACCUGUCGAUGGAAAAAUUUGGCUCCAAAAUACGGGUGAAAGGCCAAAAAUCAUGGUAAGUUGGCUCGUGAAACUGAUCUUGUCUUCAUCUCAUUUUUUUGUAUAAGAAAAUUGGUUAACUUCUUUUUUCGAUGAAUUUAGGUCUUCCACAGGGCUCUGUUACCAUCCACGAGGAGGAUGUUUUGGCUGAUCUCGCAGAGGCUGCGAGGUUGCUGAAGGAGGCCUUCACCCAAACAGACGCCAUCGGAUCCGCUUCUGGUACACGUGCUUCCUCUAGGAGUCCCCGGCCGAAGAGCAAGCAACCAAAAAGGCGGCGCUCUUCCUCGGCCGAGGGAAAAAAUAAAAAGGUGAAGAAAGCAUUGUCCGAGCCAGCCGCAGUCACUGUGGUGAUUGAUGAUGAUGGGGAAGCUAGUGAUGAAGGGGCUUCCCUACAAAGGAGACAACGACCUUCAUCAGCUCAACAUAAUGCUCAAUUUGAAGAGCUUAUAACCCCAACCAAGGACGAUGCCCAAGCACUAUGGGGAGAGCAUGACUUUGUGGAGAAUGCCAAUUCUCCCUUUCCAAUCCCAGUUGCUGCUCUCUGUACUAUGAGGCUGAGUAUCGAGCCUCUUCUGUCUUCGGUUGGUGCGUAACCUACAGCCAGCAUUGCCUUUGUCAUAGCUGCUUCUCAACCCACAACACAAUCAGCUUCAUCUCCUUCCAUGCCGGUCAUACCUUCAUCACCAGCAACUACUACGUCACCCCUACCGGCCACAGACACCCGAGAGGAGGAUAUCCCUCUUCCCCAAUCCCCAGACCAUGGGAAUUUAGGGCACAACUAUUCACCCUUUUGCAGAUCCCCAGAGGAGGAGGAGUGUCUCCCUCUCGGUCUCUACCGAGUGCCAUUUGAUGUCCUAGCUGGUGGAACUCGCCAAUUACUCAGAUAAAGACAGAAGAAAAUACACUCUCUUUCGGGGGAGUGCAUGAUAAAUAAUGCCAUGCGCAACGCAACAACGAUAUGGUACUCGUUCUUUUUACUGUCUGUUUUCUCUUGAUUUGAUAUGGCAUGAUUUCUAACUUGGAUUUUUUCUUCGCAAACUAACUUCCUUGCUUCCGAGGGUCUUCAAAAGUUGAUCCUUGAUAAAGAAAAGCUUACGUCCGAGCGAGAUCAACUGUUGGCCGAGAGGGACUAAGUUGCUACUCGCCUCCCGGUACUGGAAGUAUAAGCUGCUGAAUCCGGUGAGUUGGAGGCUCGGUUGCAGCAGAGCGAGCAGGAAGUAAUGGCCCAAAGCCAAGAAGCCUCCCAGUUAAAUGUACAGUUUCAAGAAGCCAAGGCUAAAUGUUCUGAAGUCCAAAAUGUUGUACUUGUUAUUGACGAGCACGAGGUUGCCUCCACUGAGAGAUUGAAUAACUUGGAGGCAGCGUUGAACUCCAAAGCUGAAGAGGCUGCUACUGCUGAGGAGAAGCGUGCCCAGAUGGAGGAUAAGUAUAAGAGGGUCAUGAAACACAAUAAGGUCAAUAUAACAAUUAUCUGUGACCUUGAUCUCAGUCUUAGGUCUACGAGAUCCGAGCGGGAUGGCCUUUCGACCGAGGUUGUUCUGCUUACAGCAAAACUCCAGCGCUGAGCGGAUUCCCUCACUAUUGACAAAAUACAUUCUAUGUAUAGCAUGAGAAGAAAAACCUUGGAAGAGGCCAAAGUGUGCGUCAUUGAUUUUGAUGCCAAAAUCACCAAGUCCCAAGAUCUGGAGUCAACCACUCGUAGGCGCCUCCCAGCUCGGCCCGAUGUAACUAACUCUGCUGGUUUCGGUUCCGGUUCCGAGUUCUAGGGAAUUGGGGAGGAACUUGAAGAGGAUAAUGAUGAAGGCCAAGAGCCCGAGCCGACGACAGAUCCGUAUACUUCUCCUGGGGGCAGAAAUGCUUCUCUUCCCCCGAGUUCUAAGGUGCAGUAGUUUAGUUUUUUGCUUUCUUUUACCUUUGUUGUUUUAUUUUCAUACUUUUGUACUUGUGCUACUUGGCACGUUUAAUAUAUAAAAGUGUUUUUUGUUUAAGCAUUACGCAAAGUUUACUUUUUUGCAUCGUAUUGUGCAAGGCUUCGGGUGCAUUUUUCCGCGACAACAUUUGGGUUCCAGGCAUAAACUAUUCCGCAACCAACCCUUUACUGUGAUGAUUUCAUAAGAUAGGGCUCUCUUAUGUUUACGGUGCUCUUGAAGAGGACGUCUCCUUUUCAUUUCGGCACUAGCAUUUGAAGUACUUGAUUAACUUUCAAAUGAUAAAAUUAAUUCAUUGUUUGGACAAGUAACAAGAUAAAAAUAAAAGGACUUUUUUCUAUUUCUUCUAUCUUUAAAAGUACAUAAGCAUUCGUUUCGCUGAAAAUGAAAUUGCCAUUACUUGUGGAUACUUUGUACAACUUGUUUCUACGGGGCUGGCUGCAUAGUUCCCCGUCCCGAUGAGACAUUUUUGUUCCCGAAUUUCGUAGUCCCGGUUUCUGUGGAAAUCAGGUUGCCGUAUUCUCAUAGCAUUCCCCCCAGUGUUCAAAUGUGAAGAAUGUGAAUCGGAACACUAGAAGUCUUGCUCCUUUGAGGAUUCCACUAGGUAAUGGUUGGAUAAUCUUUGGUCCAAUAGCAAGCUUCAUUUCCCGUUAGGAACUUUGCUAACGAGCCAAAGAUUAUUCAACCACCCCUAAGUGGCUUGUAGGGAAGGAGCACUUGUGAAUGGUCGAAUAGCCUUUGGUCCGAUAGCAAGCUUUGUUUCCUGUUAGGAACUUUGCUAUCGAGCCAAAGACUAUCUAACCAUCCCGUAGUGGUUUGUUAUUUCUAUGCCUUGUCAUUUAAAGGUUUUAUUUUUGUUGAUGACUUUUCCUUCGUAGUAUGCUUUCUGUUGAUUCCUAGUUAACAACCUUUCCAGAAAAAUCCAAUUAGGACAAAAACUGGAUGAAGGAAAAAUGAGUGCAACACAUAUUUUCAAUAUAAACGGUGCUCAUUAGCAAUAAUACCUUUUUAGGUGUGCCACAUUCCAGUUGCUCUUCAAUUGUACUCCGUCUUAGUUUUCCAGUUCAUAUGAUCCUUUCUCGGUGACAGCUGAAACCCGGUAGGGGCCUUCCCACGUCGGACCCAGCUUCCCUGCGUUGAGCUCUCAGGUGUUUUGAGUCACUUUUCUUAAAACCAAGUCUCCCACUUUGAAACAACGGAUAUUGGCUCUUCAAUUAUAGUAUAUUUCCAUUCUUUGUUUCUGGGCCACCAUCCUUAUAUGGGCCAAGUCCCUACAUUCGUCAAGCAACUCCAAUUUGACUAGCAAAGCUUCGUUGUUUGUUUCUUCAUCUGCCCGGAAGUAUCUCAUGGUAGGUUCUCCCACUUCCACCGGGAUCAGGGCUUCUACUCCGUAUACGAGAGAGAAAGGUGUCUCUCAUGUGCUUGACUUAGUCAUUGUCCAGUAUGCCCAUAGCACUCCCAAUAACUCUUUGGGCCACUUGCCUUUGGCUGCUUCCAAUCUCUUUUUGAGGUUUUGAAUAAUCACCUUGUUCGUUGACUUCGCUUGGCCAUUUGCGCUCGGAUGGUAUGGUGAAGAUGUGAUUCUUUUGAUUUUCAAGUCUUCAAAGAAUUUUGUGACCUUUGCAUCUAUGAACUAUGGUCCGUUGUCGCAGUCUAUCUCCUUAGGUAUUCCGAACCUACAAAUUAUGUUUUCCUACAGGAAAUCAACCACUUCGCGCUCGCCGAUUUUCUGGUAAGGACCUGCUUCAACCCACUCAGAGAAAUAAUCAGUUAAAAUCAAAUGAAACCUUACCUUACCAGGAGCCGGCGGCAGCAGACCGACUAUGUCCAUCCCCUAUUUCAUGAAUGGCCAUGGCAAUAAUUCUGAGUGCAAUAGCUUUGCCGGUUAGUAUACUAACGGCACAUGGCGUUGACAUUUGUCGCAUUUCUGAACGAACGCCUUAGCGUCUUGUUCCAUCAGGGGCCAAUAGUAUCUUGCCCUAACUAAAUUUAACAAUAACGAUUCCACAUUUGAGUGAUUUCCAUAGAUUCCUUCGUGAAAUUCUCUCAUGACAUAAUUUGCCUCGGAGGCUCCUAAGCAUCGGGCCAACGGGCUUUGGAAUGACUUUCUAUAUAACUGUCCUCCCCAAAAACUGUAGCGAGCUGCUUUGGUGCAAAGUACCUGGGAUGCCUUCGAGUCUUCAGGCAGUUUGCCUUGCUCAAGGUAGUCGAUGAUUUCAUUUCUCUAGUUCCAGACCAAGUUCGUCGCAUAACCGUCCACUUCCUAUACCGAGUGCAUGAGCUGCACGACCGUACCCGAAUCUGUUCCCUUCAUUUUUAUAGACGAGCCAGAUUGUCCAGUGCGUCUACUUCCGCAUUUUCUUCUCUUGGGAUGUGAGUGAUUGACCAUUCCCUGAAUCGUGCGAGCAGAGUUUGAACUUUCACCACAUAUUGCUGCAUACAUUCCUCUUUGUUGUCAAAGAUUCCGUAUACCUGAUUUACCACUAGUUGGGAAUCACAUUUGAUUUCAAUGACCUCAGAGUCUAGUCCCCGGGCCAGUUCAAGUCCUGCAAUCCAAGCCUCAUACUAGGUUUCAUUGUUAGUCAAGGAACAAUUUUUAUGGCCUGCCUCAGGGUUUCUCCUGAGGGCUUCAUUAAUACUACCCCGAACUCGGACCCUUUCACGUUAGAAGCUCCAUCCGCGAACAAGGUACAAACUCCUGAUGUCAUUUCUGACACCACCACCGCUUCUUUGGUGGCCAAAGGCAGCAACCCGAAACUGAAAUCUGCCACAAAGUUGGACAAAACUUGUGAUUUGAUCGAAGUCAUGGGUUUAUACUCGAUGUCAAAUUCACUCAUUUCGACUGCCCACUUAGCCAGUCGACUUGACAAUUCAGGUUUGUGAAGGAUAUUCCGCAGGGGAAAAGUUAUCACCAUGGCUAUCGGGUUGCAUUGAAAAUAAGGCCUAAGCUUUCGAGCGGCGACUGCGAGAGCUAAGGCCAAUUUUUCAAGGUGCGGGUAACGAGUUUCCGCUCCCGUUAAAAUUUUUCUAACGUAAUAGAUAGGAGAUUGCGUACCUUAGUAUUCCCGCACUAGAACGGCACUUGCCGCUACCUCCGAGACCGCUUAGUAAAUUACCAAUUGUUCACCUUCCUCCAAUUUUGAUAGUAACAGAGGGAUUGACUAAUACAUUUUCUGGUCUUUUAGAGCCUGUUGGCAUUUAGGAGUCCAUUCGAAGUUGUUCUUCUUCUUUAGAAGUGAGAAGAAGUGAUGGAAUUUUUCGAAGACCGAGAAAUAAACCUGCUUAGAUCGGCCAGUCUUCCAAUUAACCUUUGUACUUCUUUCACAUUUGUCAGUUGGUCAGGAAUGUCCUCGAUGGCUUUAAUCUUAUUGGGAUUGGCUUCGAUCCCCAUCUGCAAUACUAGGAAACCCAAAAACUUACUGGAGCUGACUCCGAAUGCACACUUUUUGGGGUUAAGCUUCAUGUUGUGCUUCCUUAGGAUGUCAAAGGUUUCUUGGAGGUGUUUCAGAUGGUCACCUGCGUUCAAAGACUUAACCAACAUAUUAUCUAUGUAAACUUCCAUCAUUUUCCCUAUUUGCGUUUUGAACAUUUUGUUCAUGAGCCUCUGAUAAGUGGCUCCAAUGUUCUUAAGCUCGAAAGGCAUUACAUUGUAGCAAUAUAUGCCAAAGUUCAUUAUGAACGAAGUCUUUUCCUGAUCCUCCGGGUUCAUUUUGAUUGGGUUGUACCCGGAGUAGGCUUCAAGGAAACUCAUCAACUCAUGCCCUACCAUUGCAUCAAUCAUUUGAUCAAUGUUUGGCAAUGGGAACAAGUCUUUUGGUCAUGCCUUAUUCAGAUCCAUAUAAUCUACGCACAUGCGAAACAUAUUAUUCUUUUUUGGAACUACUACUAUGUUAGCUAGCCAUUCGAGAUACUUUACCUCCUGGAUUGAACCAAUUUCAAGCAAUCGAGUUACCUUUUCUUUUACAAACCUGUUUCUGACCUCAGCAAUCAGGCGCUUCUUUCGUCUUAUCGUAGGGAUGUGGGAUUCAAACUUAACUUGUGCACGGACCACCUCAAGCUGAAUACCUGUCAUAUCCACAUGCGACCAUGCAAAACAAUCAACAUUAAUUUUAAGAAAUUCUAUAAAUUCUGACCUGACCUCGGGGUUUAAUCCUGUCCCCAAGUGGAAUUUCCUCUCUAUGAACUUCUCGAACAAUGCGAGUUGUUCAAGUUCUUCUGCCAUGGACUUGGUUGCGUCCGUUUCUUCCGGUACCUGGAAAUAUCUUGGUACUUGAUAAGAUUCUGAUGAUUCCUCCCUUUUGUCGAUUUCGUUUGGUUCGGGAGCAGGCGUCGGUUCCUGUAAUUGCUAUGCCGCAUGUUCCUUCCCUUUACUGCUGGAAACUGAUAUUGUGUUCAUCUUCCUUGCUGCCAGUUGAUCUCCUCUUAUUUGUUUGAUUCCCUCUGGAGUUGGAAAUUUCAAAAGUUGGUGGUAUGUUGACGACACGACUCUCAUCUCUUGUAGCCACAGCCUGCCAAGAAUUAUAUUGUUGCCCCAUGUUGCCAUCUACCACUUCAAACAGGGUAGUUUUCAUGACCCCUUCAGCGUUUGUGGGAAGUAGGAUCUUUCCUCGGGUUGUCACGCUUGCUAAGUUUAACUCAACGAGGAGCUUUGUGGUCGGAAUGAUGGUUCCGGUUAACUUGGGGUGCUGCAGCACUCUCCAUUGAAUGAUAUUGGCUGAACUUCCUAGGUCCAUCAAAACACAUUUACUUUUAAAAUCUAAAACAUUAAGAAAUAUUACCAGGGCAUCAUUAUGCAGUAGUAGAAGUCCACCGGCGUCAUCCUCUGUGAAGGUGAUAUCAUCCUCGGCGACUUCCCGGAGUCUCUUGUUAUGAGUCACCGAUACCUUCGUCCUUUUUGCUGCUGAAAAGGUUACACCAUUGAUCUUGUUCCCCCCAAAAAUCAUGUUGAUCGUUAGUCGAGGAGGAUCUUCUCCUAUCUUCGUGGGCUCUACGUUAUCCUGCUUGCGACCGUAGUUAUUUUUAGCUCGGUCGCUUAAGAACUCUUUGAGAUGGUCGUUUAUCAGCAACAUCGCUAUGCCUCGCGCAGAUGUCAGUAGAACCUGGUCCGGUGGCCGUUAGUCCCAUGAUACUCACACCAUAGAUUAGGAUCCCUCUGACCAGGAUCAGAUCUCAUCGGCCUCGGGAACCGUGAUUCCUUAAUGUACCUCAUCACCGAUACCAGCUCCACCACACUGACAUUGAAUUUAUACUCGGAUAGUCUGAGGUAGGUGGAAUCCCGAGAGCUUGAUAUCUCUUUGUCCUGCAAUGACCUGUUAUUCCGGCCACAGUCAGUUCUCCUUUCUGGAGUGAACUUGUCCGCCGACCAAAAACCCCUGCCGCAUCCUUUGGCCCUUUCGUAGGGCAAAAAUCGGCCCUUAGAAGAUCGUUGAUCUGCGUCAAAAUCAUCCUUUGACUUAUCCUUGUUCUUUUCUCGAUCCCGUCCCUUGGUUGAUGCUAGGAAACCGAGCUAGAGGUCUUCUAUUCUUAUCUUUGAUUCAUAACGGUUGUGGACAUCUACCCAUGUGGUUGGCUGGAACUCGAGCAGGCUUUUUUUCAAUUUUCGGGAAGCGUCGGAGCUUCUCGGGUUCAACCCUUUAGUGAAUGCCUCAACCGCCCAUUCAUCUGGCACGGCCAGUAGGAGCAUCCUUUCCUUCUGAAACCUGGUCACGAACUCCUGCAGCAAUUCGAACUCUCCUUGCGCAAUUCUGAAUAUGUCGGCCUUUCGGGCCUGCACCUUCCUGUUCCCGACAUGGGCAUUGAUGAAAGAAUCUACAAGCAUCUUAAAGGAAUCUAUUGACUGUUGGGGUAAAAGUGAAUACCAUGUCAGGGCCCUCUUCGUGAGGGUUUCCUCGUACUUCUUCAACAGGACUGACUCAAUCUCGUGUGGAGAUUUCCUUUCACUGUCGUUCUAUAGGUGAUGAUGUGCUCUUGAGGAUUCGAAGUCUUAUCAUAUUUUGGUACUUCUGGCAUUUUGAACUGCUUCGGGAUUAACUCUGGUGCUGUGCUUGGUUUGAAUGACAACUGGGUGUAUUUCUUUGAGUCCGGUCCCUUCAACACUGGCGGUGCGCCCGGAAUUUGGUCCAUUCGGGUGUUUAUUUCCCUUAUAAACCGCAUGAGCUUGGUUUUAAAGGGAUCAUUGCCAUUGUUGUUACCAUAUCCACCGCCGAUCCUGCCCCGUCGAAGCCGAUCUCACCCCUCAGGGUGUUGUUAUCGACCCUUUGCACUGCUUGGUUUGCUAGAGCACCGGGAGGAACUUGACCUCUUUUAUUCGCAUUGUUGGAAGCACCCGACAACGCUUGACUCAAUUCUGUCAUAGCCUGGUCUUGCCAUGAGAGAUGUCCCAUAAUAGCUUUUUGUUUUUCUCUCAGGAUCCUCACCGUUUCCACAACGUGCUCGUCUCCAACAUCAUCAGGAGUUGCCUCCCGUACGUGUCAUGGAUAUUGCCCACUAUGAACUGGCGUGGCUAUGUCCUCCUUGUUGCGGGUAUCACCGAUCGAAUCCCCAUGUUGAGGCGGAUUUUCUUGGGCCUGAAUGUUGUGUACGAUGUUGUUAUAUUGUUUUUGAGCAAAUAUACCACUCGGCUUGUAGCCUUGUGGUAGAUAUAUUAUAAAUAAUAAUCAAAAAUAGGAAAUGAGUUAAUACAAGAUUUGUACAAAAUACAAAGGAAAAGGUGCAUAAAAAUAAAUUCUAACUGUUACAAUUGAUUAUAACUGGAGGUUCGUAUCCUCUAGUCAAGUGCAAAACCUCCGAGUAGCACCUCAACGCUCUCACCAGGCGCCAUGUUUUGCAAUCAAACUGUGAGUGUCCAAGCAUCACCAUUAACACGUUUAGCUUUCACAAUUAUCAAACUUGCUUGCAUACUUCUUGAAAAUGGUCGUCAUAACCUUGACUGCAGCUCGUUAUUUCCAUUUACUAUGAAAGUAACUGUCGGAUUUGUUACUGUGUGAUGUUUCCUGAUUAGCAUCAACCCUCGACCCUUUUGUGUCUUGUUUCAUCCUUGUGUACACCUUUGUGAUAUGUCCACAUAUUGCUUUCAUGUGAUUCUUCUCGCACCAUAAGACCACCCCUAGAUUGAGCAUGAUAACAUGCUAAUACCACUGGGAGAUACCCUAAUAGUGUUCAGUUAAUCAGCAUCAGAAGUAGAGAUGAAGUUUUGACAGAUAUUGCAUUAGCUGAAAUCACAGAUGAGUGGCCAACUUUCUGGCAGUAUUGUUGAUAUUCUUCUCGUACGAUCUUUACCUGUUUAUGUGUCUGUACGAGCAACAAACAGAAAUGUUACCAUUUUCUUUUGUCUUGCGUAGCAUUAUACAGUUGCAGACGCAUUGCAGUAGUAGUAGACCUUGAUGAUAGUUGCAUUUUGUUUUCUCUGUGCAAUGUUCCUCCUCCUAUUACUAUGUAAUUACCCUUGCACCAUAAGCCCACCCCCAGACUGAGCAUGAUAUCAUGCUAAUACCACUGGGAAACAGUCUAUAAGUGUUUAGAUAAUCAGACAUAAAAGCAGACCAAAGUGUUUUUAGUUGAGUAACACGCAGAAGAGUUAUACUUUGAAGAAGCUUUGUGAACAGAUAUUGCAUUUGCUCUAUGCACCUCUCACUGGCCAAAAAUUCACAAGUGUUAGACCCUUUUCUCUUGCAAUAUAGACCUGUUGAUGUUGCUGUGGAAGUAAAAUAAAGGACUGUGUGCACUGUAAAAUAUCUGACCUGCACCUUUGACUGUAUGCAGUUCAGUUUUACUAGCAGUGCAACAAUUUGUCCACCCCUGCUUUCAUGUGAUUCUCCUUACACCAUUACACUACCCCCAGACUGAGCAUGGUAACAUGCUAAUACUACUGGGAGGCAGUCUAACAGUGCGCAGAUAAUCAACAUUAGUAAACAGACCAAUGUGUUCUUUGUUGAGUAACACGCAGAAAUGUUACUAUUUGAGUCCUCCUGAAUAACAACAGUACUUGACCUGUUCUGCUACCAACGUACAGUAAGAGCUGCAAAAAUUACGAGUGCACUGUUUGCAUUAAUCUUUGGCAUCUUUACUAUCAUUGCAACCAUGUGCUGAUGUCAUGUUAUUCUUGUGCUUGGUUAUCCAUUCACCAUCAGAGAACCCCCCCUCCCCCCCCAUGCUGAUCAUGUUCUGUUAAUACCAGUUGGAAGUAUCCUUCCAUAUUAAAGGUUAACAGCAGCAACAUAACAUCCUAGUGUACUAACAGAAACUUUUGCACAUCAAUCUAGGAAUUUUCUCUUAGCAAUUUUAACCCUUAGAUUUGGUAUUUGUGACUUGUCCAUGUUUAUUAAUCUCCUCCCUACUGUAGGAAGUUCUGCGAAAGAGUGAAAAUGAGUUGUCCCUACAAAAGAAAAAGCAAUGUUAGCUAGAUAAUCUGCUAUGAUGUUUCCUUCUCUGUAAACAUGUUGAAAGAUCACAUUGAAAUGAUCCCUCAACUCCUGAAUCUUCUGCACUUCUGCCAUUAUACACCAAGGUGUAUCCCAUUCCCUUUCAAUAAGCUUCUUCAACAACAAGCAGUCUGUCUCUAAUAUUAGUGGAUGAAGACUGUUGGCAGAACAGUAUUCCAACCCCUGUAGUAUAGCUUUUGCUUCAGCUACCACAUUGGUGGUUUCAUCUAGGUUCACUGAUCUUGCAUAUAUUAGAUUACAUGCAUCAUCUCUUACACAAAAUCCAAGUGAACUAGGUCUGAAGUUCCCUUUUGAAGCACCAUCAGUGUUACACUUAUACCACUUUUCAUGAGGGAACUGCCAAGUAACUUUUCUGGUGAUUAAAAUUGGCUUGUAUGCUUCAAAAAAUUGGAUCAUUUCUGGCCAUAACACAUGUAUAUGAGAUAGCCAUGGAAACUUAAUCCUUGCCAAGUUGUUUACUUCAUGAAUGACUCUAUUUGUAGAAAUUGUUACUCCAUUCCUGAAUGUGUUCCUCUUUUUCCAUAGCUCCCAAGUAAUGAUUGUUGGAGCUGCCUCAAACAAUGGUUUUAACUUUGGACAACAAUCUAUAUUCCACCAUGCCCUUAUCACUUUCUUUACUUGGAUUAAUGGUACAUAAUUCCCUACAGCUCCUAGAAAGUGUUGCCACACCUUUGAAACAAUAUGGCUCGUCAAGAAAAUGUACUCAAAUGUUUUAUCAAUUGGAUGUUUACAGCACCAACAUCUUGAAACAAUUAUAUAUCCUUGCCUUCUCCACAAAUCAUCUGUAGACAACUUGUGCCUCCAAAGUCUCCACAGGAAGAAUGAGAUCUUGAAUGACAGACCUUUAAUCCAUAUUUGCUUGAAUUCUUGACAAAUAUUUGCCUUAUGUCUCUGAAUGUUCCAUGCAAUCUUGAUAGAAAACUUUCCUGAUGCAGUUGGCAUCCAGUGGGGUAUGUCCCAGGCUUCCUGAUUAUCAUUAUAAUGGAUAUUGAGUUUGAUAUGGUUAGCAAUAUCUAUUGGAACAGUCUAGUCAAGUAGUUGAACAUUCCAUUCUCCUCCGUGUCUUAGUUGGCUUACUUCUUCUAGGUUCUCAUCAAUAGGGAAUUCUGGAGGUAGCACAUCAUAGAGUGCCCCCAAACCAGUCCAGUUUUCAUGCCAUACACUUGUUGUUCCGCUCUUCGUCUCCCACAGGAUUUCAUGCUCGACUUCUUCCCUAGCAUGCAACAUUUGCCUCCACACAGGACUAAAUUGUACCACAGUAGAUAAGUCCUUUUUGCAAUACUUAUUCCACAUGAAGUUUGACCACAAGGAUUUUUUAGUUCUAAACCUCCACCAUAGCUUAGCGAAUAGAGCUUUUGAUACAUCAUUUAAAGAUCUGAAUUCUAGUCCCCCUUCUUCUUUAGGAAGACAUAAGUUUUGUCAAGAUACCUAAUGCCUACUCAUCCCUUCCUCCUUGGUGCUUCAAAAGAAUCUUGCAAAGAUUUUCUGUAAAUGUUCUAAUAUAUUGUUGGGAGGGUCAAGAACUGAAAGAAGAUGUAGUGGCAUACUUUGUAGUACGCUUGUAAUGAGAGUGGCCUUUCCUCCAAAGGAUAAGAGUUUGCCUUUCCAAGAAUGUAGCUUGGCCUUCACUUCUUUAACAAGAUCAUCAUAAUAGUCCUUCAUUUUCCUAGUAUAAAAUAUGGGGCACCCUAGGUAUGUGAAAGGAAAUUAUCCUCUAGUGAAACCUAUAAUAUCAGCCACUUCCUGGAAUAGGGCAUGUGCAACAUUGGCAUGCAUGUAAUAGAAACUCUUAGAUUUAUUGAUUAGUUGUCCCGACAUCUGCUCAUAACCUCCUAACAUUGUCAUUAUCUUCCUCAGGGAGUAAAGAUUAGUGGAUGCAAAAUUAAUAGUAUCAUCGGCAUAUGCCAAGUGGUUUAACGGAUCAGACCACUCGGGCAUACCAAAGCCAAUAAAAGACUUAUCUUCAAACAGUUUGUUCAAAGUUCUAGACAAUACUUCAGCUGACAAAGUAAAUAAUGCCGGAGAUAGAGGAUCUCCUUGUUUCACUCCCCUUGUUGACUUGAAAAAACCUAAGGAAUGCCCCUUAACUAAAACUGAAUACCAAUUGUUAGCUAAUAGGUUCCCUACCAUGAUGAUGAAGUGUUUUGCAAAACCCAUUUUUCUGAAAACAUGUAUCAGAUAUUUCCAAGAAACCCCAUCAUAUGCCUUUGUCAUGUCCAGUUUAAGCACCACAUUGGCAGGCUUGCCUCUCAUCCUUAUGUCAGUGAUAAUUUCUUGUGUGAGUAAGAUGUUCUCGUAGAUGCUCCUUCCUUUCACAAAACCAGAUUGAUUAGGGGAGAUAUAAGUAGGCAGGAACUUUGUCAGUCUAUCAUGUAGGACCCUAGAGAUCACUUUAUUGAUGAAAUUUCUCAAACUUAUAGGCCUUAGGUCGGAAAAUGUCUGAACUUGUGGUUUCUUUGGCAGUAGGACCAAAUUUGUAUGGGUAAUGGACUUUGGCAAAGUUGCAUCUCCAUAGAAAUUUAGGACCAUAUUGUGAAUGUCAUGACAUAUCACCUCCUAGGUGGCUUGAUAAAAAAUGCCCGUGAAUCCAUCUGGACACUUGUACUAUCACCACUUAGGUCGAAAUCUGCAGCCUUAACUUCAUCCAAAGUUGGGUACCUGCAUAACUCCAUGUUCUCCUCCAUCGAAACCAUAUCAGGAAUAUGUUCCAACAUAGAGAAAUCUGUAGGAUCCUCUUCUUUUGUGAACUGGUUUUGGAAGAACUGAACUACAGCAUUGGCCAUUUUGCUCUUGAUUUUCUAACCAGGUUCCAUCUUCAUUCUGAAUUCUUUUCAGUUGUAAUUUCUUCCCCUUUCCAUUGAAAUGAUUGUUAAAGAAACAAGUAUUCCUAUCACCUUCAGUAAACCAUGUCAUUCCUGAUUUCUGUUUCCAGUAUUGCUCCUCUAUAUUGAGGUACUUCUUUAUUUCUUAUUGACAUUUCUGAAGGACAAUUCUAUUCUCAAUUGUAGGCUCAUCUUCAAACAACUGCUCCUUAAUUUUGACAAUAUCCUCCAGUAUUGCUAUUUGUUUGAAAAUAUCUCCAAAAGUAUCUCCGCUCCACUUAGAUAGUGCCGCCUUGACCUUCUUCAGUUUGUGCUUGAACAUGAGGAAAGGAUCUCCAAUGGAAUCAGCAUUCCAGUUCUGUCUCACUACAUCCAUGAAUGUAGCAUGUUUUGUCCAGAAAUUUAGGAAUCUAAACGGCUUGACAAAGGUAGUAAUGUGCUCUCCACAGGUCAUCAGGAGUGGGGCAUGAUCUGAACCAGUUCUAAUCAAGUGCUCCACUUCAAUUGAUGGAAGAAUGUUUUGAAACGGUAAAUUCACAAAGAUCCUAUCAAAUCUUUUGAAUAUACACUCACUAUUAGGUCUCCCAUUCCACCAAGUGUAUGGGCUUCUCUUGUAGUAUUGAUCAAAUAGUCCACAUAAGUUAAUGAGGCUGCAAAAUCCUCAUAUUCUGGAGGAUGAACAGGCAGGCCCCCUAUCUUCUCAUUUUUAUGUAAAAGCACAUCGAAAUCUUCUCCUACUAGCCACGGUAGUUCCAUAUCACUUGCCAUGUAAUACAGGCUAUCCCAUAGUUCUAUUCUAUCUACUGAUGAACACUUUGCAUAUAUAAAAGUCAUCAUGAUAUGAUUCCCUAUGUCAUGGUGAAAUAGUUUUACUGUAACUUGUUGAUCGGUCUCCAUAAUCAAUUCCCACUCUGUGUCAGAACUGAAGAAUAGCCAUAUUUUGCCAUUUAAAUUUGAAAAAGCAGUCUCCAUAUCUAACCUUCUUCUGUACCUCUGUAUAUGCCUUGCAUUCUGAAAAGGUUCCAUUAAGGCUAUGACGAAGAAAUUGUGCUCUCUUUGCAUGUUGAUCACUCUGGGGAAGGCCUGUCGUGUGUUAACGGACCUAAUAUUCCAAAUUAAUGUCUUAAUCAUCAUUUAUAAUGUGAAGCUGCCCUUCUUGGCAAGAUUCUUGUUGGUUGGUGUGUAGCUUUGUUUUGAGUCUGCUUCUUUGUUUUCUUACCUCCUUUUUCACUUGUUUUAACAGAUAAAUCAGCCUAUCUUGCCACUUGUUUAAAAUUCCCCGCAGUCGACUCAUCAUCUCCUUCCUCUUCGAUUUGGUGUUGCUCCAUCAAGGCUAACUCCACAUUUGCCUUAUUGUAUGUAACUAGAUCAUUCAGAAUGUCUGCAUUGGGGAUUUCAAAGGAACAUUGAGCUGAAGUUGCAUACUCUGCUCUGUGACUGAAGUACACACAAUUUUCAUUGAGUCUACAGCUGCAACAGUCUUUAUCGCAAUAGCAUGCUCUUCAAUCACCUCAUGUUGCUGCUCCAAUUCACCUACUGUCUGAAGCAUCAUCUUGGAUCGAAGUUCAUCUCCCUCUGAGUCAACAUUAUAGUCAUCUUGAAAUUCAAGAUGUAAGUGAACUUCAUCCUCAGAAUGCAUGGUCAAAAAUUCAUCUUCCUCAAGAGCAGAAGUGGAGCUCUUGUUGAAUUGACAUAGUUCUGUCAGAGGCAAUGGUGUUGAAAGUUCCACUGUAUGUGCUGCCCCAGGCAUAAGUGAGGGUGUAUCAUGUACCAUUGAACCUACUAUUGCAGAGUUUGGUGCUGGUGUUACAGAUGGAUCAUGUCCUACUUCCAUGGCCAGAUGUGUGGUAGUUACAUGUGUCCCAGAUCAUGCUACUUUUGAAGUAGAUGCAGAGGGAUUUUUUGGAAUUACUCUAUCUUUGGCAAGAGUGGGUUGCUCUAGUGGUAAGCACCCUCCACUUUCAACCAAGAGGUUGUGAGUUCGAGUCACCCCAAGAGCAAGGUGGAGAGUUCUUGGAGGGAGGGAGCCGAGGGUCUAUCGGAAACAACCUUUCUACCCCAGGGUAGGGGUAAGGUCUGCGUACACACUACCCUCCCCAGACCCCUCUAGUGGGAUUAGACUGGGUUGUUGUUGUUGUUGUACUCUAUCUUUGGCAGUCUUAGAAGUUACUGUUGUAGGUGACAUUGUGCUCAGUUUCUUAUUUACUGGUGCUACAGAUGACAAUAUGCCAACUUCAUUAUCAGGAAAAGUUCCUGAGUUCUUUUCCAUAGAUAGAUCAGUAAUUGUUCCAUCUUCGAUAGCCAGUUCAGUUGCUUCCUUUUGCCUUCGUAGCUGUUUCCUCUUCUUUUGGCUAGGAUUAGAUUUAGAUGGGGAAGUACCUGAAUGUGCCCCCAUAGAAUCUUUUCCAUGAUUAACUGUACUCUUGUGAUCCUUAUCAUUAAAACUAGAGGUCUGUCGAAGUUCAAUUUCUGUAGUGUUCUAUAUGUUAAUGAUUGUUGUUGAUUUCUCACUACUAUUCGCAGGUAGGUAAUAGUCAUUCUCUUUAGAACCUUCUAUAGGAUUAUUCAGAGUAAUCCCCUUUCCUUCUUGAACUGUGGUAUCACAUGAUGGUACCAUCUCCACAAUCUCCAGUGAAGUAGAGGUAACCACUGGUGGAUGGUUCUCAGACGUUAUGUUCAUAACUUGGGUGUUUUUCUGCAUUUUACCCUUUGUGUUAACACCUCUGAAAUUCUUCUCUUUGUUCUUGCCAUUGGUCCUUAGAAUGGUUAUUUUUUAUUGUUUGCUGUUUUGCUGAUGUCUGAAUAUUUUCUUGAUUGUGCUCCUUCAUUUGGUCCUGUGUUUCCUUUUUAUUGUGUCAAGUUCUGUUGCUUGUCCUACAUGUGUAAGGGCUGAACCUAUGUUUGCUGCAUGCUUGUGCUUCAUACAUUGUUGAUGAUGCUUUGGUUGUCCUGGUUACCUGAUGCUUCUGUAACAUCUUGUUUCUUUCCCUUCUCCUCUUUUUGUUUGGUUGUGCAGUGUUUCAUCGAGUGCCCCAGGUGUUUUCAUUGUAGACAAUAAGUAGGCAUAUACUCAUAUUCUACUUCAAGGCAUUGGCCAUCCCCAUUCUCAUCCUGCUCUUCAUCAAAUCCAAGCAAGACAUGCUAAGGUCUUGCUUUUGUCAAAUCCAUCUACAUCUUCACCUUUGCAACACUUCCCCUAGUCUUCUGCAUGGAUGCAACAUCCAGGUGUAGUACUUUACCAACCAGAGAUAACAAUACUGUAAGAACCUCCAUGUAAUAGAAAUGCCAUGGUAAUUCUGGUACUAUCACCCAUGUAGGUACCACAGGGGAUUCUUCAUUAGCCUUAAAAGUAGGAGUCCAUGCUUGGAGCUGCAUUCUUUGACCCUGUAUAAACAUGAAUUAUUUUGUCCGGACAGUGGUGUGAUCAUAUUCAUUGUCGAGGUCAAUGUAGACAGUUCUAGAAUUGAAAUGAGCAAUUUUGACUCCUCCUUUUAGUUCAGUUUGUGCAAAAAAACUUCUCCUGAUUUGUUUCAUUCUUGGCAUGGAGUUAAGGAACUUGCCUAUGAUGGUUUAUUGGCAUUUACUGGCCAAGGUGAUCAUGUAAUCUUUUCUGGUGAAUAUGACUGCUGGUUAGCCUUAUUUGGUGAUGAUCUUUGGAGGUGUGAAACGGAUUGGGGUAGUCUCUGCUGCUUGUUUAGCUCUUAAUUUGGUCGCUAGUGAAUGCGUAAAUGUAUGAGGUGGCGGUGCAGUGUUUCUGGUUGGUUUUUUGAUAUCUUUAGGUGUUGGGUUAGAAUUGGGAUUUCCUUGGUGAUAGUGUACUGCAGCGUUUUGGUGGACAUUGUGUUUAUCAAAGUUGGACGAUAUCUUGGGGAAAUUGUUUGUGGUAGGUGCUUUAGUAACUGGGAUAGUAUUUGGUAAAGUUUUGAGUUCCUGGUCAUUCUGAACAUUCACAUGGGUCUCAAUAUUUGCUGACGAGUUACCUCGGGCUAGAGGAACAGUUGUUUGGUCGACUACCAGUGCAUCUGUAACUAGGAGUCUUGUGUCUGUUGAAUGUUGUUGAUGUUGCACUGGUUUACAUAUGUUGUGACUGUUCUUGUUAGUUACAUAUUGCUGUUGCAUUUGGGUCGUAGUUGCCUUAUCAGGUAGUUCAUUAUGCCUUGCUAACAAGGUAGCUUUUGGGGUGGGCACAAAAUGAUCGUAAUCUUUUGUUGAUUCUCUGUGUGAAUUUCCUUGAUGACUACCUUCAACAUCAAGAUAGGAAGCAUGUACAUCAAUUUGCUCAGUCAAAUUAUUGAUACAAUUGACUGUGGCAUUACAUCGAGCAGCUGGUACUUUUGAAUCUGCAGAAUUACAUUUUUGCAUUGUUGAGAUGUUCCGUCCAUCUAACUUCCCUUUGGGCACUUCAAUAACAAUCGUUGCAUCAUUACCAAACAAUUUGCAUUAACGUUGGCCAAUUUCUGAUUCUGGGAUUACAUGCGCACCUACGUUGUGCUCCGCUGGGCAGUUCAGUCGGUCUUGCUUGUCAGUUCCGAUGGUGGAAAGAUUCACACUGUGGUGAGGAGUUUGAUGUGGACCUGAAGAAGAUUCUCCAAUAUUUGAAAUGGCUCGAUUAAACCCAGAAUCGAGGGAGGUAGUUUUUUGGGAGCCCAGUAGAUUUUUCACUACAUUGACCGUUGUUUCAUUUUGCAAAUCAGUAUUUACUGGGGUGUUAUUUUGGGCAAAUGUUUGUUGGGUCUGAUGCGUUAUCUUAAGAACCAUAUCUUGGUGAUUGUCCGGUGUCUUUCCACCGGUAGACGAUGGAGCAGUAGCCAUGACCACUUGACUGCGUUACUAUUCAGUCUACAAUAUCUUGGGUUUUUUGUUGUUGUUAUGGUUAGCUGCCAUCUUUUACGAUUUCGUUUUUUUCUAAGAAACAAAGAAUCAAACAGAUUAGCAAUAGAUGCAAGGAUCAACUUAAUUACGCAACUGUCUAAGCCCCACGGUGACGCCAAACUGUUUACCCGUAAAAUGGUACAGUUAAAUUUAUAACGUGGUUUAUAGACAAGCGAAUCGAUUUGAUCCCAAAAUUAUAAAUAAAUUAAAUAAAAUGAAAGACUUAGCAUUGAAAUCGAGAUAAGAUAGCAAACAGCCUGGUUCCGGGAGCAAGGCUUUCGAAGACCGCAAUUUGAAUAUUGAUAAACGAAAAUAAAGUAUUAUUGAGCUUAGAAUAAUGUGUAGCAUAAGUUUGUCAGAAUUCUCGUAACUUACUAUGACUGUUGAAGUCACUAUUUAUAGCUACACCUAGGGAACAAGAUCCUAGGAUCAAGUCCCUCUUAAAUGAUAAUUAUGGGGGCUAUUGAUGAAUAUAUAACGACAUGCUAUGAAUGGCAAAAUUCCUUGUAACGGAUUGUGCAUUUAAUACUGAAGAAUAUUCUUCACUGAAUGUCAUUGGGUGGCAAAUAUUUGUUUGUCCUCAUUAACAACGUUCCCUUCGGGGGUUUCUCUAUGCCAACCGAUGUUGCUGUCCUCGGUUUUGGAUUCCACUUGCUUUGUCAUCCGUAUAUCUCCGGUUCCAUGUGUCGUUCUAUUAUUUGAGUAUUUAAUAUGAACCGGUUUUACCCUAUGCAGUCAAACUCCGGUAACCUCUUUCAAUUUAAGCUUCCAACUUUAGGACUAAGUGUCCCAAUUCAUUCUGAAACUCACCCGAAACCAAACCAACCACUCCAACAAGUCACAUAACCACAAUAUAACAUAGAGGAGGCAAUAAAUAGUGGAACGGAGCUAAAAUACUCAAAACAAGCAGCCAGGUCGUUACAUCCUCCCCCUCUUAAGAUAGACAUUCGUCCUCGAAUGAGUAUAGAGACAUACCUAAAAGAACAGUUUGAAGGCCUUCAACUGGAGAAAGGCGUUUGCUGAGAAUAAAGGAGCUUUGGAACAACAACUGAGGAUGAUCUCCGAUGAACAAGAGGUUUUAAAAGCUUCUUCCAAUCAGGUUGAGAAAGACAAGGACAAAUUGGAAUCCUCCUUUGCUGAACAACAUUCCAAGGCAACUGAAGAGAUAAGGAGUUUGAAAGAGCUCCUUAAUCAGAAAUAAAUGUACGCGGGUGAUCUGGUACAGAUGCUUACCCAGGCUCAAGAAGACCGCUACGCCUCUACAGACAAGGUUCAGUUCCUUGAGAGUUCUCUUACUCCUUUGAAGGCGGCUUAUGAAGCCUUAGAAGGCAAGUCAACACUUGAUGUUAGCUGGGCUUUUUUGAACACUCGCUUCAAGACUCUAACUCAAGCUAGCCAGGAGGGUUUUGACCUUAAUGCUGAGAUUGAAAAGGCUUAAGAGACGAUUGAACAGACUCAGCAGUGUCAAAGCUUCUCUACACCUGAGGACGAAGGUUCCAAGGGUGAUGGUGAUGGACUUACUCCUGGUGAAGCCGAUGUUCAACCUUCAUCUUCUCAAGUUAAUCUUUCUUCUUCCGUGGAUGAUGCUCCCUAGUUCUUCCCCUCUUGACUUUUGUUGAAAUAGUUUAUUUUUGGUUUAUGUUGGAAUUCUCUUGGGUUUUGGAUACUUUUUGGAAGAUUUUUCGCCCCUGUUUUUUGGCUGAUGAUAUAAAUAUCUUUUGGAUUUUACUGCAUAUUAUGCUUUCUGCUCUUUGAUUUAUUUAUUUAUUGAGCUUAUACUUGCAUUUAAAAUGCUUUAGUAAACCGUGACUCUAAUAUGCACGGGUUUUUAUAAAAGAUGGCCCUUUUUUAUUAACAACACUGAUGAAGAUGACGUCUCAUUUUCAUAUUGGUGCAAAGAUAUGAAACAUAAGUAGACAUGAAGUAAUUUGAGGUUGUUUUAUUUUUUGAACUUUCAAAUAAAUAAGUUUAUACAACUUUUUCAUAACUACUAUUUUUGUAGCAGGUUUAUAAAUUCGGGUAUAUCUUCCCGUGACUAAAUUUAUGGCCUUAAGCCAGAAGCUCGUGGGAAUAUCCUGCAACCUUUUUGCGAGUUUGAAUGCCUUUGAAAAAAAGAAUUUUCUUCAAGGUUUUGAUUCUAGCUGAACUAUGCUCUUGGUAUAUAUCUUCUGUCAUUGUGUAUCCUUCUAUAUGCAUAGUCCCCCUAGUAUUAGAGCAUUGAAGCAUGGGAUCUCGAACACUGGAUCAACUCCUUACUUUUGGUCCUUUCCCUAACACAUACGGGACUCAGAGAUAAUCUUUUAUAUGAUGACUGCAUAACCUUUUUGCCAUCAGAAAUGUUGUAACCUAGACCGGAAAUAAUUUAGUAUUUCGCGUGUCUUUCGGGUCUAAUAUCAUCAUCUGGUACGUGCCAUAUUUUUGCCUAUCAUCUAAAAUAGUUAGUAAAAUUCAAAUGAACAUAACAAAAUCGAACUUGCUUGAUACCUGAUCGUGGGUAUUAAUCUCUUUUAGAAGUAAUACUUCUUCAAAUGGACUGCAUUCCAAUGUGAUGGUAACACUUUGCCACCCAUGGUUUCCAACUCAUAUGCUUGUUUUUCCAUCAAUGCCUUUAACCCUAUGCGGGCCUUCCCAAUUUGGACUUAACUUUCCUGCGUUUGUCGCUUUUGUUGACCGGAACACCUUUUGAAGGACGAAGUCCCCAAUCUUGAAGUACCUCAAGUUAGCCUUCCUGUUAUAGUAUCGUUCAAUCAUUUGCUUUUGAGCUGCCAUCCGAAUUAAUGUUGCUUCCCUCCUUUCUUCUGUCAAAUCCAAAUUUACUCGUAACUCUUCCUCAUUUGUUGCUUCAGUAGUAUGUGUGUACCUCGUGCUUGGUUCACCUAUCUCUGCCAGAAUUAAAGCUUUCGUUCCAUAUACAAGUGAAAAUGGGGUCUCGCCCGUACUAGUUUUCGUCGUUAUUCGGUAAGCCUAUAGCUCACCUGGUAGUACUUCUUUCCAUUUACCUUUUGAUUCUUCCAAUUGUUUUUUUAUCUCUAAAUAAAAUCCAUAACUUUCUUUUAUCGCACAUGUUUAAAGGCACCUACUUCUACCCAUUUUGAGAAAUAAUCUGUUAGAACUAACAAGAAUCGUACCUUCCCUUAGCUUGAGGCAAAGGCCCUAUGAUGUCCAUCCCUCAUUUCAUGAAGGGCCAUGGUGAUAUGACUGAAUGCAACAGUUCCAUCGGUCGAUGCAUAUUAUUGGUAUAUCAUUGGCAUUUAUCACACCUUGCUACGAAGUUUUCUGCUUCUUCCAUUUUUGGCCAAUAAUAUCCUGCCCUUAUUAAUGUCUUCACCAAUGAUCCUCCCCUCGCAUGAUUGCCACAAUGGCCCCUAUGUACUUCUUUCAUUACAUACUCCAUCUCUCAUUACAUACUCCGUUUGUGAUGGUCCAAAGUAUCGUGCUAAAGGUCCACUAAAUAUUUUGCAAUAUAAAUUUCCGCGAAUUAAGCAAUAUUGUGCAGCUUUCAACCGUAACAAUUGGGAUUUCUUCUUAUCCUUAGAAAAAAUAUCAUACUAUAAAAAAUUCACAAAUUUGUUUCUCCAAUCCCAAGUUAAAUUAUUGAAAUUUGCCUCACUCUUGGUUUGACCGAGUAUUGAAUGAAACAAAUAUACCACAACAGCAUUUUCUGCAUUUGUUGCAUCAGCGAUAGACGAGAGAUUUCCCAACGUGUCUGCUUCUGUAUUUUUCUCCCUGGGUAUUUGCACAGCUUUCCAUGUCUGAAAUUGUCUAAGCAAUUCUCUUACCUUUUCGAGGUAUUGCUGCAUUAGUGUCUUUCUUGCCAUAUAAGUCCCCUGCAUUUUAUUAACUACCAGUUGUGAGUCACUUUUGAUCACAAUUUGUUCAAUACCAAGCUCUCGUGCAAGUUUCAGGCCUGCAAUCACAGCUUCAUACUCUGCCUCAUUGUUAGUAAUUGGGUAACAUUUUACUACAUGUCUUAUGAAUUCUCCCGAGGGUGGAAUUAAAACAAUCCCCAAACCUGCUCCUUUAACAUUUGAAGAACCGUCAGUAAAUAGGGUAUGAGUCCCCGGAUUAACUCCGGUAUAUAUUUGUAGCUCUUUUUCUGCUUCAGGAACUAGGUUCGGGCUAAAAUCUGCUAACACGUGCGAUUUUAUAGCGGUUCUAGGAUGAUAUAUAAUAUCAUAUUCACUGAGUUCUAUUGCCCAUUUAGCUAACCUACCUAAUAGUUCAUGUUUAUGCAAUAUGUUUCUUAGUGGGAAAGCAGUUAUAACAGACAUAGGAUGACAUUGCAAGUAAGGUCAUAACUUUCUUGAUGCCAUAAUUAAAACUAAAGCAAGUUUUUUAGGUGAGGAUACCGUGUCUUAGCAUCUACUAAAGACUUACUAACAUAAUAAAUUGAAGAUUGUUUAUCUUUAUCUUCACGUACCAAUAUCGCGCUUACCGCUGCUUCUGAUACAACAAGGUAAAUCUGCAACCUCUCUCCGUCUUUUGGUUUUGCUAACAAAGAUAGAUUUGAUAGAUACAUCUUUAAGUCCUUCAGAGCUUGUUGACACUCGUCAGUCCAUUCAAACUAAUUUUGCUUUUUCAGUACUGAGAAGAAUUUAAAGCAUUUUUCUAAUGACUUUGAUAUAAACCUUCCUAGAGUUGUUAUUCUGCAUGUUAAUCUUUGCACUUCUUUAUUGAUCGUGAGUAUAUAUGUUAUUUCCUCAAUAGUUUUGAUCUGUGCGGUAUUUACUUCAAUACCUCUGUUAGAAAUAAGAAAACCUAAAAACUUACAUGAAGCCACGCUAAAAGCGCACUUUUCCGGAUUUAACUUCAUGUUGUACUUGCGGAGAAUUUUAAAGGUCUUAGACAAAUGCUGUAAAUGAUCCCCUGCAUGUGUUGACUUGACCAACAUAUCGUCUAUGUAGACUUCCAUAGUUUUUUCCAUGUGCUCUUGAAAUAUUUUGGUCACCAAUCUCUAAUAUGUGGCUCCAGCAUUUUUCAAACCGAAUGGCAUGACUUUGUAGCAAUAAGUCCCCCUGUCUACGAUAAACGAAAUUUUCUCCCCAUCCAGAGGGUCCAUUUUUAUCUGGUUAUAACCAGAAUAUGCAUCUAAAAAAUUUAAAAGCUCAUAACCUGCGGUAGAAUCAAUUAAUUGAUCUAUGUGUGGCAAAGGAAAUAAAUCUUUAGGGCGAGAUUUAUUUAAAUCAGUAUAAUCAACACAGACUCGCCAUUUCCCAUUCUUUUUUGGAACCACAACAGUAUUAGCUAACCAGUCAGGAUACUUUACCACUCGUAUUGAACCAAUUUUUAAAAGUUUUGUACCUCAUCCUGGAUUACUUGAUUUUUUAAGGCCCCUUGCUUCCUUUUCUUCUGCUUGACAAGUGGGUGUAAUGGAUCCUCAUUUAGCUUAUGAGUCAUCACCUUUGGUGGUAUACAUGUCAUAUUUGAAUGCGACCAAGCAAAGCAAUAUGCUUUUCAAUUAACUUACCUUUCAUCUCUUGGCUCAAAUUUGCUCCGAUGUAAACUUUUCUGUAUGGCCAGUGGACAAAUAAUAUUAUAGAUUCGAGCUCCUCCGUGAUUGUUUUAAUGUUCUCAUUUUUUUUUGGCUCUGUGUGUUUUUAGUUGAGGUAUGAACAAAAGUGUCCUCAACUGAAUUCUUUAAUUGUUAUUCUGUAUCUGCAUCGUUGGCUGUUGUGUUGGAAAUUGCCACCAAAUUAAUAUUUCGUGAAGCUUGUUGAUCUCCGCGUAUUUGUUGGAUUUUUCACUGUGAAAGAAAUUUGAUAAUUUGAUGCAACGUGGAUGGGACAACAUCCAUAUUGUGAAUCCAUAGCCUUUCCAAGAUUAUAUUGUAGGCCAUGUCCUCGUCUAUUACCUAGAACUUUGUAUCUUUGAUGACUCUUUCUGCAAACAUGGCCAAUACAAUUUCUCCUUUAGUUACAACGCGUAAAUUAUAAGCUGUUUCUUCUUCUUUCAUUUUCCAAGACGCCACAAUUGACAAUAGGAUAAGAUCAACACACACUUCAGUGUAAACGCUGACGAUAUAUAUUAAGUGUGAAUUCAAAGAGGAAGUACUUAAGAUAUUGUGAAUCCAAGUAGAAAUACAUACCAAUAGAUACGUAACAUGCAGUCUCCAACCAGUGGCGGAGCCACAUUCAACUUCGCCGGAAAAUUACACCAUAUUGCUAGAUAAUAUUUUUUGUUUUAUGUAUAUUUACUAUAUGUUGACUCUCUUUAACUUUUCGGUAUAUCGAAUUUUUUUAUAUUUUGACACUUCUUGAUAAAAAUUCUGGCUCCGCUAAGGUCUCCAAUGAGUCUUUCUUAUGCAGUCUUGAAUUAUUGUUGCUUGAUUCCACACUUUUUUGUGGUCAUUGUUACCUUCUAAACUCAAGAGUGUGGACUAACAGAUAUUCAGCCUCGAUCUUAUGGAAGAUUGCUAUUAUUAAAAGACCACUUAGCUUAACUGAUAGAAAAUAAGUGAUAAGCAUCAAAUACAUAAAAGAAUGCAUGUUGGUUGUGUUUUUUUAUAAAUAAGCAUUAGGUGUUUAUUUGGUUUGUACCUCAAGCUUCAAGAACACAUGGCUUGCCUUCAACCAGCUUCAUUAUAUAGAAGCCCAAAGCUUCAAACAUAUCCAUAGCCUUGUCCAUCCUUUCGUUUAAUCCUUUGGAUUUCUUAAGAUAAAUCUUGAUUAAAGUUAAAGAAAGAAUCAAUGCGUUUUUAGUUGUGUUAGAGCCCCGAGGGAUCGCCAGAUAAAAUACUGUAGACCAGUGGAUUACAGGAGUUAAAUAAUCAUAACAAUGAUUCAUUGAUUUGUGAUGCAAGACAACAAAAAGAAUAAUGCUAUAGAUGAAAUGAGACUGUUUAAACAAGUUAACACUUCUAAUUACUGAAAAGAGUAUCUAGGCAUCAAAUAUAUACAUAAAUUUUGGUGAAGGUAUAAUUAUAGGUGAUCAAAUAUCUUCCGACAUCGGAUGCUAUGAACAAAGUUACACGAGAAUUUAAAAGAUUUCCACAGUAAUACUUAUGUGUGCAAUGAAGAGUGGAGAACAUCAAGUGAGCCAUGAGGAAGUUGGGACUUCGUAGAUGGUUACUGCUCUGCACAAAUAAGCUAUACAAAAAUUCGUUCUUCUGGUGAAGAAGUACUAACCUUGUACAACAUAUAAGAGUAUAGGUGUCUCCCUGAAUAGCAACAAUUUCACUUGCCAAGAUCAUCAUAUAUUUGUCAAUCCAUAAAUCGAUAAGCGGGAAUUCNNN